ensembl:lncRNA
CACACACAUACACAGGUAUAUGCACAGCACGGGCACACACACACACACAUACACAGGUAUAUGCACAGCACGGGCACACAUACACAGGUAUAUGCACAGCACGGGCACACAUACACAGGUAUAUGCACAGCACAGGCACACACACACAGGUAUAUGCACAGCACGGGCACACACACACAGGUAUAUGCACAGCACGGGCACACAUACACAGGUAUAUGCACAGCACGGGCACACACACACAGGUAUAUGCACAGCACGGGCACACACACACAGGUAUAUGCACAGCACGGGCACACACAGGUAUACGCACAGACACUAUGCAGACAUACACAGGGAUGGAGGUAUGAUUAAUUCCCUGUUGGAUCAACCAAGUGCUGUAGAUAUCAAUCUUUUCAUUUUGAACUACAGCAGAAUUGUUUCAAGUCACCCAAUUGAGCGCUGCAUUAUAUUACUAUGGGAUUAAACAAUUAUUACGUUUUCUUGCAAUGUUAACUCAAAAGUUAGAAAAUGGCCAAAUGAAAUGCUGUUUUGUAUUUUCCUCAAACUGGACCGUCCCAAACAUGACUAAUCUACAUCAAACAGCCUCUGUGAGUUGAAGCAGUGACUAGCUUUCAAGUCUUUGAAGAUAUUUCUGAAAAUACUCUCCUAAAUCUGUAUCUCCUGAGAAGCUGUGCUAGCAGUGGGUUUUCUGUUGACUUUGUGCUUAGCCUGGAGUCUUUAAGUGUAGUGCUGCGGCUGCCUCCCCCAACCUCUCCUUAAGCCCUUCUGUGGCUUCAAUUCAGUUCCUGUCUGGCUUGCGGGUGAGGUUAAAAUUGCUAUUCUUAAUCUUUAAGUACCUCUGAUAUCAGCCAGGGAUUUUUAAUAAAACUCACUGUGACCUAAAGGCUUUAUAAAACACCCACCUUUUCUGUUUUCAUAUCUGGCCAUUCUAGUUUCAUUACUUCAUUCAAAGUAUUAUAAUGUCAAGUAAGGCCAAACCAAGCCUCCUGAUGAUCUCUUCUACUGUCUAAUUUGUUUGAAUGAAAUGUAGCCCUAUGGGUGUUUUCAUCCGUGUAAUUACUUUGUAAAAUUGUUAUGAGUAUGAAUUGUUAUAAACAUAAGACGUGUU